rnacentral:misc_RNA from 1 species
AACGCACGAGACCUGCGGACCUGCGGAGGGAUCAUUACUGAAUGUUACCAAACAUAAACCCUUGUGAACCUUCUGUAUUUCUGCCUUGGCAGGUAAUCCCAGGGCGGGAUUCUGGGCCUCUUCGGGGGCACCUGCCAGCGGUGGAACAUUUUCAUACUCUGAAUUACAGUGGAUUUCUGAGUGUCUUCCAAAAAUAAAUUAAAACUUUCAACAACGGAUCUCUAGAUCGGAAGAGCACAC